AUUGAACGCUGGCGGCAGGCCUAACACAUGCAAGUCGAACGAGUGGCGGACGGGUGAGUAAUGUCUGGGAAACUGCCCGAUGGAGGGGGAUAACUACUGGAAACGGUAGCUAAUACCGCAUACCAUCGGAUGUGCCCAGAUGGGAUUAGCUAGUAGGUGGGGUAACGGCUCACCUAGGCGACGAUCCCUAGCUGGUCUGAGAGGAUGACCAGACACACUGGAACUGAGACACGGUCCAGAGUCGUACGGGAGGCAGCAGUGGGGAAGAUUGCAAAAAGGGAGAAAGCCUGAUGAAGACAUGCCGCGUGUAUGAAGAAGGCCUUCGGGUUGUAAAGUACUUUCAGCGAGGAGGCGUUACUCGCAGAAGAAGCACCGGCUAACUCCGUGCCAGCCGCCGCGGUAAUAC
rnacentral:rRNA from 1 species